rnacentral:rRNA from 1 species
GACGAACGCUGGCGGCGUGCUUAACACAUGCAAGUCGAACGAAGUGGCGAACGGGUGAGUAACGCGUAAUAAACCUGCCCUUCAGAGGGGGACAACAGUUGGAAACGACUGCUAAUACCGCAUACUGAAGGAGGGGAUUGCGUCUGAUUCGCUAGUUGGAGGGGUAACGGCCCACCAAGGCGAGGAUCAGUAGCCGGUCUGAGAGGAGUAACGGCCACAUCGGGACUGGGACACGGCCCAGAAGCCUACGGUGUGCAGCAGUGGGGAAUCUUCCGCAAUGGACGAAAGUCUGACGGAGCAACGCCGCGUGAGUGAUGACGGCCUUCGGGUUGGAAAGCUCUGUUAAUCGGGACGCGGUACCGGAAUAGAAAGCCACGGCUAACUCCGUGCCAGCAGCCGCGGUAAUUC